CGAAAAGGAUUGAUUUUGGUAGGAGAGAAGGGGCCUUCAGAUCCCAUCACGAGGCAGGGUGGGAUUGGGAUGAAUCGGGAGAAAGAAGAAGGUGGCGCGGCUCGAGCAGCGGAUAUUAUUCUUUGGGAUUCAGAUUGAAAACUACAUGGAAACCAUCAUGGUGGGAUUCUUCUUCAGCGAUUAAACGCUUGGAGUUUAGUUUUCGUCUCCACACGGCCGAUCCGCCGCUUCCAGAGCCAACACCGUUCCCUUCUCUUUCCCCCAUGACCUCCCCCCAAAACCCUAACAAAAAAAAAAAAGAGAAAUUCUUUGUGCACCGCCUGCGGUGGAGCAAAUAUGACGUGCCUCUUAGCCGUCGAGAGAAGAGGCCUUCAGAUCCCAUCACGAGGGGGUAAGAAGAAGUAGGCGCCGCUCGAGCAGCGGAUCUGGGCGGAUCUUAUUCUCUGGGAUUCAGAUUGAAAACUACAUGGAAACCAUCAUAGUGGGAUUCUUCUUCAGCGAUUAAACGCUUGGAGUUUAGUUUUCGUCUCCACACGGCCGAUCCGCCACUCCGCCGCUUCCAGAGCCGACACCGUUGCCUUCUCUUCCCCCCC
rnacentral:lncRNA from 1 species